rnacentral:rRNA from 1 species
UACGGAGGGUGCAAGCGUUGUUCGGAAUUACUGGGCGUGAAGCGCGCGUUGGCGGUUUUGUAAGUUGGGAGUGAAAUCCCGGGGCUCAACCCCGGAAUUGCUUCAAAAACUACAAAACUAGAGUGUGGUAGAGGAUAGUAGAAUUCCUAGUGUAGGGGUGAAAUCCGUAGAUAUUAGGAGGAAUACCAGAAGCGAAGGCGACUAUCUGGGCCAUUACUGACGCUAAGGCGCGAAAGCGUGGGGAGCAAACGGG